CUCGUCUACACUGAGCUUCUCUCAAAGCAACCGCGGGAUCCUGAAGCCAUCACACGUGCUCUGGUUCUCUCGAGACACUUGCCUGUUGUCCUGAAACAAUUUCUCCUCCUGUUUCGCUGGAACCACCCCGUGGCAGCACCCACCAGCAUGACCACCAACACGGACACGAUGGGCGACACGAUUUUCGCUAUCGUGUUACCUGCCGGGUGGAGAGACCGAGAGGUUCUGAGAAAACACCCCACGAGAAAGCCAAUCCGAACGAGGAGCUAGAGGAAAGGGUUCUGCGCCUACCCCGCGUGGACAUCAGUAAGCACGUCUUCCCCGUGCAGGACGUUCAAGAUAGAACAGUGCCUGUGAGAGGC